rnacentral:rRNA from 1 species
UGAGGAAUAUUGGACAAUGGGCGCAAGCCUGAUCCAGCCAUGCCGCGUGAACGAUGAAGGCCUUAGGGUUGUAAAGUUCUUUUGUCAGGGAAGAUAAUGACGGUACCUGAAGAAUAAGCACCGGCUAACUUCGUGCCAGCAGCCGCGGUAAUACGAAGGGUGCUAGCGUUGUUCGGAAUUAUUGGGCGUAAAGCGGGUGUAGGCGGACUUAUAAGUCAGGUGUGAAAUCCCAGGGCUCAACCCUGGAAGUGCACUUGAUACUGCAAGUCUUGAGUGUGGAAUUCCCGGUGUAGAGGUGAAAUUCGUAGAUAUCGGGAGGAAUACCGGUGGCGAAGGCGACACUCUGGACAGAUACUGACGCUGAGGCGCGAAAGCGUGGGGAGCAAACAGGAUUAGAUACCCUGGUAGUCCCUGAGCGGGCUGGCAAGGCGCAU